GUCGAUUGAGCCUUCUUAUCCCAGCUUCCUUGAACUUUUGGUUGUGAGUGGCAAAGACCUAAAGUCAGGUACAUUUCCUUAACUGUCCCCUAAAGUAUUGGUCCUUAAUUCCUGUGAACAACUGUAAUAAGCUGCUUUUUGAAGGUCAUUUACACCUGCAUUGCUAAGGUAUUCAGUGCCAUAAAAAGAUUUGACAAAGCACUACUCAUCUGGGCAGAAUUUUAAGCAUGACAUUAACUGUGUUUAACUCUGCUUGGUAUCAGUGGGGCUCACAAUGAGUUCUGAAUGUUUCACUGAAUAAGGAUGGAUUCAAGCAGGUGCAUAUUGUUAAGCAGGCACAUAAGUACCUAAGAGAGAUAAAUGGAGAGAGUUACAGAGCAGCUGGUAUCUCUGCUGUCCUAUCAACGCGAUUCCAUUUGGUGAGCAGAGUGAUGCAUUGAUGCCUUUUGAUGGAUUUCCUCGUGUGGAUGUGUCCUCUCUUUGGUGCAGGCUAUGUUACGGUCAUGAAAUGUGGUCUAAUAGAAGGAUCAUCAAGAUGUCAACGUAGCUGGGAACAGAGAGUGUGGGGGUAACAUCCAGAAUUCCUGGGUUUUCUUCAUAAUUUUAAGAGUGCUUCAAGCAAAAUGUGUUAAAUCACAAUACACAGUUACUAUUAUAACUCCAAUUGAUAAUCUGCUGUGCCUGCAAGAACUUUGCCAAGCUGGGAGCACAAAGCAGAACUCCUCAUGCCAAGACCUGAACUGUCCCCAAAGGACCAUACAGAGCUAUGGCCUUGGCUCCUGGAGAACCACAGCAGCUCCAAGAUCCUGGGAGACUUGGAUGGAGCUGCCUGGCCCAUUGGACCAUUCAUUUGAUGCAAGAGGUGGAAAGUCUCAGAUUUAUGUCACAGGAGCAAUAUUUCUUACAUUAGCUAUUUAUGGAUUUACACAUCUUUGCAUUUUCUUAACAGUAAAUAAAAUAAAUAGCAGGCACUGAAGGCCUGGCUGCGUGACAAGAACCUUUGUAGGAUGCAGAACAAGGACAAAAUUAAAAGCAGAGAGAGUAAAUAAAUCUUUGGGCAGGACUUCUGCCA
rnacentral:lncRNA from 1 species